rnacentral:lncRNA from 1 species
GGAGGAAUGGGACUGCUACAGAUUGGUAAAACUGACAUGGUGCAGUGUUGUAGUAUGUGGCAGCAAGUGUUUGUGGUCAAUGCAGGAGAAGAAAGUCAUGCUGUUGGUGAGAAGAAUUGCAGGAAGUGUAACAUCUGCUGUGGAACUUAGAGAAUUAGUGACAAGGGUAGAAUCAUGGACUAAGAGCACAGCUAAUCAGUGCAUGCUUGUAUUUGGACUCAUACUCACAGCAGCUUCUUUGAUGACUCUGCUAAGUACAUGGACCAGCAAGGUCAGAUGCAGCAGCAGUUAGUGCAGAGGAAGAGAACGAAUUUGUUGUCUCUGCUGAAAGCAAUGCAGACAUGACACACCAGCACUGAAGGGAUCUCUGAACAUCACUAGAGGUCUCUCUGGAAAAGGAUUUGGAAGUGCAAAAGUAAGGAAAUGUAAGCCUUUUAGUGAAGUAAAGGCUUUGUGUUUUAAAAUUUAUUAGAGCUGGAAAUUAUGCAGAACUUGCUGCAUAAAUCUGUCAUGAUGUGCCAAAGCCUAGGUUUAUAUAUGUUUUUCUGUUUCUUUGUGAUGCUUUUUGGUUUGUAAACUAUGUGAUGUGGUAUGUUUUAGCACUAGUAUAAUUCAUUUAAUUUUUAUUGAUAAAAAAAUGUAGGACAUUACAUUGUAAACAUAGAAGCAACUUAGUUGAGGAUUUCCAAUCAUGAAGAUCCUAAAAUAAAAUUUUGAGAAUGACAAAGUCAACUCAUGAAACUCUUAUAACAUAAAGUCAAAGGAAUAAACACAUGAGCAAAAAGUUC